rnacentral:rRNA from 1 species
AACGAACGCUGGCGGCAUGCCUAACACAUGCAAGUCGAACGAGACCUUCGGGUCUAGUGGCGCACGGGUGCGUAACGCGUGGGAACCUGCCCUUAGGUUCGGAAUAACUCCCCGAAAGGGGAGCUAAUACCGGCUAAUGUCUUCGGACCAAAGAUUUAUCGCCUUUGGAUGGGCCCGCGUUGGAUUAGCUAGUUGGUAGGGUAAAAGCCUACCAAGGCGACGAUCCAUAGCUGGUCUGAGAGGAUGAUCAGCCACACUGGGACUGAGACACGGCCCAGACUCCUACGGGAGGCAGCAGUGGGGAAUAUUGGACAAUGGGCGAAAGCCUGAUCCAGCAAUGCCGCGUGAGUGAUGAAGGCCUUAGGGUUGUAAAGCUCUUUUACCCGGGAUGAUAAUGACAGUACCGGGAGAAUAAGCUCCGGCUAACUCCGUG